GACGAACGCUGGCGGCACGCCUAACACAUGCAAGUCGAACGGACUUACAAGAGCUUGCUUUUUUUAGUUAGUGGCGGACGGGUGAGUAACACGUGAGCAACCUGCCUCUGAGAGGGGGAUAGCUUCUGGAAACGGAUGGUAAUACCCCAUAAAAUAUAAAUAUCGCAUGAUAGAUAUAUCAAAGAAAUUCGCUCAGAGAUGGGCUCGCGUCUGAUUAGAUAGUUGGUGUGGUAACGGAUCACCAAGCCGACGAUCAGUAGCCGGACUGAGAGGUUGAACGGCCACACUGGGAGUGGGCCACGGCCCAGACUCCUACGGGAGGCAGCAGUGGGGAAUAGAGCACAAUGGAGGGAACUCUGAUGCAGCGAUGCCGCGUGGAGGAAGAAGGUUUUCGGAUUGUAAACUCCUUUUAACAGGGACGAUAAUGACGGUACCUGAAGAAAAAGCCCCGGCUAACUACGUG
rnacentral:rRNA from 1 species